rnacentral:rRNA from 1 species
ACUCCUACGGGAGGCAGCAGUGGGGAAUAUUGGACAAUGGGCGCAAGCCUGAUCCAGCAAUGCCGCGUGUGUGAAGAAGGCCUUCGGGUUGUAAAGCACUUUUAUCAGGAGCGAAAUACUACUGGCUAAUAACCGGUGGGGCUGACGGUACCUGAGGAAUAAGCACCGGCUAACUUCGUGCCAGCAGCCGCGGUAAUACGAAGGGUGCAAGCGUUAAUCGGAAUUACUGGGCGUAAAGCGUGCGUAGGCGGUGAGUUAAGUCUGUUGUGAAAUCCCCGGGCUCAACCUGGGAAUGGCAAUGGAUACUGGCUCGCUAGAGUGUGAUAGAGGAUGGUGGAAUUCCCGGUGUAGCGGUGAAAUGCGUAGAGAUCGGGAGGAACAUCAGUGGCGAAGGCGGCCAUCUGGAUCAACACUGACGCUGAGGCACGAAAGCGUGGGGAGCAAACAGGAUUAGAUACCCUGGUAGUCCACGCCCUAAACGAUGCGAACUGGAUGUUGGUCUCAACUCGGAGAUCAGUGUCGAAGCUAACGCGUUAAGUUCGCCGCCUGGGGAGUACGGUCGCAAGACUGAAACUCAAAGGAAUUGACGG